ACCCCACGAACAACCAAGAUUACGGUGGAGGGAGUCAACCAAUCAGAACAGAGGGAGUGCCGCCAUCUUUACUACGGGCGGAAGUUUGAAGGACCGCUGAGCACCGGUAGAAAAGCGCGGAAGAUGAACACCCCGCGAUUAGGAAAGUAGACUUUAAUGGUUAGAGCGCUCCCGUGCCCUCAGUUAAAAUGGCAACCUUAGUUGCUUCACUGACUUGGAAUCGGCGCCAUGGAGGCGUCCAGCGUCCUGCCGCAGAGCGAGUCGGGAAACGAUUUUAAACUGAGGAGGCGGCUGAACGCAAAGUUGCUGCUUCUCAACGGCGGGAUUUUUGGAGCCGGCGUUGGCCCCUGAGGCCUCAGGUGGAGAGGGGCGCGUUGGGACACACUGUCCCUUGCCCUUUCCCUCCGUGGGCUGAAGCAGACUCCGCAGGAGCGAGGGUCGCGGAGCUGGUGGCUGAGUCAGCGGAAAUGUCCUUCCCGGCGUGAAGUGUCGGGCUCGGCUGGCGCCUGCGGGAGCGGAGGUCUCCUUACUGGGCCCGUUUGCGUCCGUCGUGAACCCAGCUGUGGUGGAGCGAGAGGGAAUUUGGGAGCGCCAGGGUUUCCUCCGGACUUAACCCUUCGCUGUCAUUUUGGCGGCUGUUUUACUUCAGGGGAUUUCAGUUUCGACGUAGUUUUGGAUCCAGACUUGAAGAAUGAUUCGUGAAGGGAAUGGUUGACAGCGUCAUCACGGCAUUUUAUUGACCAUGGAUUCUUAUGAUGCACCAGAAUCGACUCCUAGACAGUGUGCAUCCUCAAGGCUUAAAGAUUACUUUAUAGGUGCCACCCCUCUGCAAAAACGAUUAGAAUCAGUCAGGAAGCAGACUUCAUUUAUCCCGACUCCACCUCGAAGGAAAAUUCCCCAGUGUUCACAACUUCAGGAAGAUGUUGAUCCUCAAAAGUUUGCAUUCCUUCUGCAUAAACAAUGGACUUUAUAUAGUUUAACUCCCUUAUAUAAAUUCUCCUAUACUAAUUUCAAAGAGUAUUCUAAACUUCUGAAUGCAUUUAUUGCUGCUGAAAAGCAAAAAGGACUUGCUGUGGAAGUGGGAGACGACUUCAACAUCAAAGUGAUUUUCUCUACUCUCCUGGGAAUGAAAGGAACACAGAGAGACCCUGAAGCAUUUCUUGUCCAGAUUCUGUCAAAAUCUCAAUUGCCAUCUGAGCACAGAGAAGGUAAAGUGUUGUGGACUGGUUGGUUCUGCUGUAUAUUUGGAGACAGUCUUCUGGAGACUGUUUCAGAAGAUUUCACCUGUCUACCCUUAUUCCUUGCAAAUGGUGCAGAGACUAAUACAGCCAUAAUUGGAACCUGGUUUCAGAAAACUUUUGACUGUUAUUUCCGUCCCUUAGCAAUCAAUGCGUUUAAUCUUUCUUGGAUGGCUGCUAUGUGGACUGCAUGCAAAAUGGACCAUUAUAUGGCUACUACUGAAUUUCUUUGGUCUGUACCCUGUAGCCCUCAAAGUCUGGAUAUUUCUUAUGCCAUACAUCCAGAAGAUGCAAAAGCUUUGUGGGACAGUGUUCAUAAAACACCUGGGGAAGUUACCCAGGAGGAAGUUGACUUAUUCAUGGACUGCCUGUAUUCACAUUUCCAUAGACAUUUCAAAAUUCAUUUAUCAGCCACAAGAUUGGUUCGUGUUUCAACAUCUGUAGCUUCAGCACAUACUGAUGGAAAAAUAAAGAUUUUGUGUCAUAAAUACCUUAUUGGAGUGUUGGCAUAUUUGACAGAACUGGCAAUUUUUCAAAUUGAGUGAGGCCUUGUGGGGACUAUAAGUUAUGGAUUAUAUACCUUUUUCUCAUUGACUAUCUGCCUAAUUGCUAUGCUGAGGGGGACUGCAGGAGAAAUGGGCAUCUGUACAUCUGUUUUCCUCACAGUGCCUUGGAGUUACCCAGAUGAAAGCCAAGAAGGAUCUAGAAGAACAAAGAAGGUGGUAGUGGAUGAACCACAGCCAGGGUCGUGGGUUCGAUCCCUGGUGAGGGAACGAAGAUCCCACAUGCCAUGUGGCCAAAAUAAUAGUAAGUAAAUAAAUAAAAUUAAAUUAAAAAAAAAGACUGUGCAGCAGAGACUUCUUCCAUCGUGAUAAGUCUCCCAAUUUCUGGCUGGGCGUGUGGUUGCCCAGAAUAAAGAUGACAUUUUCUAGCAUUUCUCAUAGGUAGGUACAGUCAUAUGACUAAGUUCUGACCCAAUGGCAUAAAAAUGCCAGUGUCAUGUAGAGCUUCUAGAAAUCUUGUUAGUAAACAGUAGGCCUUUACCCCUUGCCCUUAUUCUUCUUCCAAUUUUGCUGUUUGGAACACAUAAAAUGACUGGUACUCUAGUUGCUCUUUUAGGUCACUGGGAUAAGGGUCAGGUCCUAGGGACAGCAGAGCAUGGCCUGGAAGGAGUUUGUGCCCUGAGGACUUCUUGAAGCUGAACUCCAGUGCCAACCGGGAUGUUCUUCCUCCAGACUUAUGUAUCAGAGAUGUAAACUUCUAUCUUGUUUAAGCUAUUGUUACUUUGGUUCUCUUGCUCAUAGUCAAACCUAAUGCUAACUGAUACAGAGAGGAAGAAUCCACAUCAUCUAAGUUUUUACAGGUACUAUGAAGAGACUGGAUUUUAUUCUAAAUGCAAUGGGGAACCACUGAAGUUUUAUGCAGAAGAGUUAUAUGAUCCAAUUUGUAUCUUACAAGAUUUUAUAAGAUAUCAUGGAGAAUGAGUUGUAGAUGGACAAGAGUGGAAAAGGGAAAACAGGUAAAAUGUUGUUAGAAAUGGUACAACCUUAUGGAGAAGUUAGCAAUAUCUAACAAAAUUAUGUGUGAUUUACCCUUUGACUAGUAAUCCCACUUCUGGGAUUCUAUCCCCAAAAUUCACUAGCAAAAAUAUAAAGUGAAGCAGAAACGAGGCUAUUUAUUCCAACAGUAUUUGUAAUAGCAAGACUAAAAACAAUCCAAAUGCUCAUCAGAGAGGGAUUGGUUGAAUAAAUUAUGGUAUAGCUGCACAGUGAACUACUACUGUGUAAUUAUAAAAGGGUUUGAGGAAGAUAUAUAAUAUUGCCAUGGAGUUCUCUCUAGGAUAUAUUGUUAUGUGAAAGAGCAAGAUGAGGAUAGAGUGUAUAGUAUGCUAUCUUUUAUGGAAGGAAUGGGGGUGGAAUAUGAGUAUGUGUGUAUAUUUCCCUACAAAAACAAUGGAAGGAUAAACCAAAAACUAGUAAAAGUGAUUGCUAAUGGAAUGAUGGGAACCAACUGUGUAGAGGGGACAGGAAUGAAAGUUAGGACUCAUCUGAAUGUUCCUUGUUUAUAGUUUGGAACCAUAUAAGUGUUUUAUGUAAUUAUGAAACAAAAUUAGAUCAAAAAGAAAAAGCAAUCCUUAAAAACUGAAAACAAAUGAACCUAACUAUAUUAUGUUCAGACCAUUAUCACACAAAGAAUCGUUUUUAGUAUCUCUAAAUCCUUGUAUUUUGACUGUAUAUCAUCAGUGGGCUAUAUCCUAGGAAAAGAAGAGCAGCAAAGGAAUCUUAAAUUGCAUUAAGUUAUCUUAUUUUUAAUAAUAUUGGUAUUGUUAUUUUACCACUUUUCAUAACAGGAUAAAAUAUAUGUGACUAUAACAAUGUUAGAAACCAAGAUUUCUAACAUUGUAAGAGAAAAAUACAAUUAUAAAAUCAAGUAAGUUAAGUAGAAACUCUGUAAUAUUAACUUUGAAUUGGAAAUAUCGGAAUGAACUCAUUUAUUUUUGAAAUGCAAAUUUUAAUUUUGAUGAAGCCCAAUCUGUCAAAUUUUUCCUUUUGUUUCUUGUACUUUGGGUGUUGUAUCUAAGAAAUCAUUGCUUAGUUCAAGGUCCUGAAGAUUUACUCCUGUGUUUUCUUCUAAGCAUUUUAUAAUUUUAGCUCUUAAAUUUAGAUCUGUAAUCCAUUUUGAGUUAAUUUUUAUGUAUGGUGUGAGGUAAGCAUUCAGAUUCAUCAUUUUGCAUACAGAUAUUCAUUUGUUCCAGCAUCAUUUACUGAAAAGGCUGUCUUUUUCCCAUUGAAUUGUCUGUUACCUUUCUUAAAAAUCAGUGGCCAUAGAUGUUUGGGUUUAUUUCUGGACUCAAUUCUAUUUCAUUGAUCUAAAUGUCAGUCCUUACACCAGUACCACACUGUCUUGCUUACUGUAGCUUUGUACUGUGUUUUGAAAUCAGGAAGGUGAGUCUUUCAGCUUUGUCCUUUUUUCAAGAUUGUUUUGACUCUUCUUGAUUUUUUGCAUUUUCAUAAGAAUUUUAGGAUCAGUUGGUCAAUCUUUGUAAAAAAGCUGGGAUUUUGAUAGUGAUUGCCUUGAAUCUGUAGAUCAAUUUAGAGAGUAUUGCCCUCAUAAUGAUAUUAAGUCUUCCAAUCUAUGAAUGUGUGAUAUCUUUCCAUUUAUUUAAAUCUUUCAAAAUUUUCUUCAACAAUGUUUUAUUGUUUUCAGUGUCCAAGUUUUGCACUUUCUUUUGUUAAGUUUAUUUCUGAAUUGUUUUUUAUGCUAUUGAGAAUGGAAUUGUUUCCUUAAUUUCAUUUUUGGAUUGUUUGUUGCUAGUGUAUAGAAAUAUAAUUGAUUUUGUAUAUUGCUCUCGUAUUCUAUGAUCUUGCUGAACUUGUUUAUUCUAGUAGCUUUUUCAGUGAAUGCUGUCAGAUAUUCUAUAUAUAAGAUUCAUGCCAUUGAAAAAAGACAGUUUUACUUCUUAAUUUCAAUCUGGAUGCCUUUUAGUUCUUUUUCUUGCCAAAUUGCCAUGGCUAGAAUUGCCAGUUCAAUGGCUGGUAGAGGUAGUGAGAAUGUACAGUCUUAUCUUGCACUUGAUCUUAGUGGGAAAGUAUAUUUCACCAUUAAAUAUGCUGUUAGCUGUAGGAUUUUCAUAGAUGUCCUUUAUAAGGUUAAAGAUGUUCUUUUCUAUUCCUAAUUUGUUGAAGGUUUUUUUUUUUUUUGCGGUACGCGGGCUUCUCACUGUUGUGGCCUCUCCCAUUGUGGAGCACAGGCUCCGGAUGCGCAGGCUCAGUGGCCAUGGCUCACGGGCCCAGCCGCUCCGUGGCAUGUGGGAUCCUCCCGGACCAGGGCACGGAUCCACAUCCCCUGCACCAGCAGGUGGACUCUCAACCACUGCGCCACCAGGGAAGCCCAGUUGAAGGUUUUUUUUGGUUUUGUUUUUCUUUUCUUUUUUCGCCGCACAGCUUGUGGAUUCUUAGUUCCCUGAGCAGGGGUUGAACCCAGGCCCUGGCAGUGAAAGUGUUGAGUCCUAACCACUGGACCGCCAGGGAACUCUUCUGAAGAUUUUUAUUAUGAAUAGAUGUUGGAUCUUGUUAAAUUAUUUUUCUGCAUCUAUUGGGAUGAUUCAUGUUUUUUUUUUUUUUUUUUUUACUUAAAGCCACACCUUUCACUUCUGGCUUCUGCACGUAAGGAGCUUGGAAGUCGCCACUCUGUCCUAACAGGUAAAGAGAUCAACAGAUGGAAAAAUCAACUAUUCUUGGGUCUGUAAGAAAGGGGAGGACACAGAACAAACUGCUGCCUCCAUGAUUGGAGAGACAAACAGGCCAAUAUGGGCAAUCAUGGCUUACAGGAGCAGUGGCUCAUGAGCAGAAACCACUGCAGGAACCAGUGCCAGGGUUGGAAAACAUGAAUUACAAUUGAUGAAUUGCUGGAGGCUCAGUGUGGAUAAACCUGAGAAUUAAGAACUCCAGGGGAACCUGGUCAUAGGGGAGCCCUCACAUUAUUGUGAGAUUUACCUCCAGGAGCUCAACCAGGUUCCUACAGUAAAUAUCAGAGAAAAAUUCUCAUGCUUCUGGUAGAGGGGAGGGAAAAAGAACAAUUUUGAAAUAUACCAGAGCAGUUGGUUUUUCUUAACAAAGUCUGCCCUUAGGGGAGAUUAGUUAUGCAGAGCCUAACUGACCUGGGGAAAGGGAAAUAUCUAACACUAGCCUGCUCUAGCUAUUCUGUCCACCUAAGUGGGGAGAAAAAACUGAGAAACUCUUGUGAAGUUCACAGUCCAUAGGCAUAGGCUCACUAAAAGCCUGAGACCUAAUCAUAGGACUACAGAGCCCUUCUCUUCUCCCCAUACCUCACUACCCCCUUACUAAAAGCCUAUUUACAGCAGUUUUUUUUACCUGGUUCAUCAUGUCUGGCUAUCAAGAAAAAAAUUACAAGGCAUAUCAGAAGGCAAAAAAACCCCCCAAAAAACCAAUUUGAAGGAACACAUCAAGCAAGCAUCAGAGCAAGACAUGGCAGAUGUUAGGAUUAUCAAACUGGGAAUUUAAAACAACUAUGAUUAAUAUGUUAAGGGAUCCAAUGGAUAAAGUAUUUCCAUGCAAGAACAGAUGGGCAGUGUAAGCAGAGAAAUGGAAAUCCUAAGAAAGAACCAAAAAGAAAUGCUAAAGAUAAAAAAUACUGUAACAGUAAUGAAGAAUGCCUCUGGGGACAUCCUGGUGGCUCAGUGGUUAAGAAUCCGCCUCCCAAUGCAGGGGACACAGGUUUGAUCCCUGGUCCGGGAAGAUCCUACAUGCUGCAGAGCAACUAAGCCCAUGCGCCACAACUACUGAGCCUGCGCGCCCUAGAGCCCGUGCUCUGCAAUAAGAGAAGCCACCGCAAUGAGAAGCCCACGCACGGCAAAGAAGAGUAGCCCCUGCUUGCUGCAACUAGAGAAAACCUGUGCGCAGCAACAAAGCCCCAACGUAGCCAAAAAGAAAAAAAAAAAGAAUGCCUUUGGUGGGCUUAUUAGUAGAUGACACAGCUGAGGAAAGAAUCUCUGAGCUAGAAAAUAUAUCAAUAGAAUCCUUGAAAAGCAAAGAGAGCAAAGAUUGAAGAAAGAAACCCAAACAAACCAAUAGCCAAGGUCUGUGGGACAACUGCAAAAGGUAUAACAUACAGUUGACUCUGAACAGCAUGGGUUUGAACUAUGCUGGUUCACUUAUACACAGAUUUCUUUCAAUAGUAAAUACUAUAGUACUAUGUGAUCCAAGUUUGGUUGAAUCUGUAGAUGUGGAACUGCAGAUACAGAGGAACCAUGGAUAUGGAGGAAUUGUGUGUAUGGAGGGCCAACUAUAAUUAUAUAUGGAUUUUCGACUGUGUGGAGGGUUGGUGCCCCUAACCUGUGUUCAAUAUUCAACUGUUAACACACAAUGAGAAUACCAGGAGAGAGAAAGUAACAGAAGAAGUAUUGGAAACAAUAAUGACUGAGAAUUUCUUCAAAUUAAUGCCAGACACCAAACCACAGAUCAAGGGAGCUUAGAGAACUCCAAGCAGGAUAAAAAAAACAAACAAAAAAAAACACAAAAAACUGUAUUGAGGCAUAUAAUAUUCAAUCUACAGAAAGUCAAAGAGAAGGAAAAAAUCCUGAAAGAAGCUAGAGGGAAGAAAACACCUUACCUAUAGAGUAACAAAGAUAAGAAUUACAUCUGACUUCUCCUCAGAAACUGUGCAAGCAAGAAGACUGUGGAGUGUUAAAAAAAAAACCCAGCAACCUAGAAUUCUGUGAAAUUAUCUUUCAAAAGUGAAGGAAACACAAAUAUUUUCCUGGACAAGUGAAAGUUGGAAUUUGUCAUCAGUAGAACUUCCUUGCAAGAAAUGUUAAAAGAAGUUCUUCAGAGAGAAGGAAAAUAAUAUAUGUCAGAAACUUGGAUCUGUAUGAAGUAAUGAAGAACAUCAAAGAAGGAAUAAGUGAAGGAACUGUUGCAUGCAGUUCUGGAAGCUGAGCAGUCCCACAGUCUGCCUCUGCAAGCUGGAGAACGAGGAAAGACAGCAGUAUAAUGCAGUCCAAGUCUGAAGGCCUGAGAACUAGGAGCUCUGAUGGUCGAGGGCAGGAAAAGAUGGACAUCCCAGCUCAAGAAGAGAGAGAGAAUUCUGCCAUCUUUUCCUCUUUUGUUCCAUAUGGCCCCAAACAGAUUGGAUGAUGUCUGCCCAUAUUGAAGUCUUCUCAAACCCUUUAUGGAACAAAGCUGGAUGUGAUUAAAUAAAGUCUGCAUCUAGUUUUUGAUAUGUGAAAAAGAUCAUCUUCAAAAUUAAGGAUUUCCAUGGAAAAGAAUAUUAGAUCCUCUGUCAACUAUCAGACUUCUCCUUCUGCACAGCCCUCUCUUGGUGCUUUUGCUUUUCAAAGUUUUCAGUAGCCGGGCACUUACUCCACUACGGCGGGAUGUCAUAGCCACCACUGGAGACCACUGGUUGGUUCUGGGGUUGUA